AUUGAACGCUGGCGGAAUGCUUUACACAUGCAAGUCGAGCGGCAGCGCGGGGGCAACCCUGGCGGCGAGCGGCGAACGGGUGAGUAAUACAUCGGAACGUGUCCUUGAGUGGGGGAUAGCUCGGCGAAAGCCGGAUUAAUACCGCAUAAGCUCUGAGGAGGAAAAGCGGGGGACCGGUAACGGCCUCGCGCUGUUGGAGCGGCCGAUGUCGGAUUAGCUAGUUGGUGGGGUAAAGGCCCACCAAGGCGACGAUCCGUAGCUGGUCUGAGAGGAUGAUCAGCCACACUGGAACUGAGACACGGUCCAGACUCCUACGGGAGGCAGCAGUGGGGAAUUUUGGACAAUGGGGGCAACCCUGAUCCAGCCAUUCCGCGUGAGUGAAGAAGGCC
rnacentral:rRNA from 1 species